rnacentral:misc_RNA from 1 species
GACUCCCUUAUAAAGGGUUUUGCCUGCAGGUGUAGAUGUUUUUUUUAGCUUACAAUGAUAUUCAGAUCUUUGAUACCCAAAAGGUAAAGAAAAAGAAAAAAAUAAUGGAUAGGUGGGGAUGGUGGAGAGAGAGAGAGCUUGUGCUCCAUGCAGGCAGUAAUAUCAGGCUUUAUGAGUUAACAAGGAGUUAGGUCAUAGGUUGUUAAGCUUAAAUGUGGCAUCUGGAAGAGAAGCAUCAUAAAUAUAAUUCCAUUUAAGUAGGAGAAAGCAUGGACAUACCCAUUCAACCAAGCUCCAUUCAU